CAACACCUACAUCGUGGCACUAAUGUCAGUGGUACUGCCGUCUGUCCCUCCAUCUCCACAGUACAUCAGAAGCCAGGUCAUUUGUGCUGGGUUCCUCAUCCAGCCUGUCGACAGCAGUUCGUGCACUGUAUGUUUGAUGAAAUAUUUGUGCCUUAAUUCAUUCUCAAUGAAUUUCCCUCAGAUCUCCUAUUCGUCACAGUUUUAUAACGUGUGUCCUCUCUAAGACCCCCCUCUUCCCUCCUUCCAGACUCAUUCACCAACAGUUUCAAUCUCUUGCUUGAAAGUUCUCCAAGUCAAUAAAAACUCAACAUGCUG
rnacentral:lncRNA from 1 species